rnacentral:lncRNA from 1 species
AUGUUCCGGACAAGAUACCGGGACGUCGAGCGGACAAGCCGGUGGUGAUUCUCGUUUGAAGGGCGUGCGCUAAGGUAAUUAGAAGUCACGGAUGGCGAUCAAGCGACAUGAUGAAUGAACCGAACACUCCACUUCGAAGCUUCCGCUAUGUUAAACUCGUUAAACAGUGUUUCGUUUGUUGUAGUCAAAGUCUUAAACUACAAUAUUACGUUCUUCUUUUGUUCUUAGUAGGCUAACUAGUAAAAGUUUUGAAACUUAUGUAAUUCCCAAUGGCUUUUGGUAUAAAAUAGUUAUUAUAUCCUAGU